rnacentral:rRNA from 1 species
AUACGGAGGGUGCAAGCGUUAAUCGGAAUUACUGGGCGUAAAGCGCUCGUAGGCGGCUUGUUAAGUCGGAUGUGAAAGCCCCGGGCUCAACCUGGGAACUGCAUUCGAUACUGGCAGGCUAGAGUAUAGUAGAGGCAAGUGGAAUUUCGGGUGUAGCGGUGAAAUGCGUAGAUAUCCGAAGGAACAUCAGUGGCGAAGGCGACUUGCUGGACUAAUACUGACGCUGAGGAGCGAAAGCGUGGGGAGCAAACGGGAUUAGAAACCCCGGUAGUCC